rnacentral:rRNA from 1 species
GUCUCUGGCCACACCACCCUGAACGCGCCUGAUCUCGGAAGCUAAGCAGGGUCGGGUACUUGGAUGGGAGACCGCCUGGGAAUCCCGGGUGCCCUAGGCU